CUAUAUAUUUUAGGUUUUGUUGCACAGAAAAUUUCAUUCUAAAUUUCUCAUCUCCUCUGUUAUGUUCUGUUCCUUCCCGCCGUCUAGUUCUUGCAAAAGUUCAGAUCUAUCUUCUAUGAUUCCUUAUCCGAGGUUUGUUUCUUCAGAUCCGGUACCACAGUUUCAUGAUCUUCUCUUUGAUAUCAGAUAUUUGACGAGGGUUAACGUUGUCUGAUCUAAUGUUUUAAAAAGUCCUUAGACGGCAAGAUCCAAAGGUUUGCAGGAAUCGUUAUCUAUUUGAAGAUAUAUAUCUUCCUAAGGAUGGUGAAAGAUUUGAUCUCGCCAGAGGUUGUGGUUCUUUUUCUUGAUCUUAGGAUCUAUCGUAGUAGAACAAGUGAUGUUCUGAGAUAGCGAUGUUGGAUCGAAAGGUGGUUUAUGUUUGGAAGGAUGUGUAAGAUGUCAGGGCAGAGGUCCUAAUUAUCUUGAAAAUAAGAAUAGGGCUGAGUCCUGAUCUAUCUUUGUCAUCCAAGACCUUUGCCAUGUCGGGUGCGCUUGCAUGGCAGGUCACCGAAACUUAAUAAAAAUUCUAUUUUUUCGGUGUUUUCAGGGGGAGUUCGCACGGGGGUUGCCCGGGUUCUCCCCUCUGCUGUUGUGUCUCGUGCCUCUUUACUUUUUUACCCUUUCUGCUUUCCAUUAUUUACUUCAUAUACGCUGCAACAUACGGGAUGGAUGCAUUAUCCCACAUUAUCAUCACCAACUCGGAAUAAGCUGUCGAAGCAAUUGAUCUUCAACCACUUGCAAACCUCAAACCCAAGGUAUUUUUUACGUAUUCAAAACAAAAUUUUAGUUUAAAAAAUAGACUUUUGCUAGUUAUCAUGCCAGUCAAUUUACCAUUAACUUUGACAAAUAUGCACCUAACUAUCCUUGGGUUAACAGGAUAAGCCGGAUAAGGAUGAGAAUCGUAUAUGCCUUAAAUAUAGAUAUAUUCUAGAUUUUUGGUACUUGUCUUUAUUUUUAAAAACGGGGUCUAUUAUUUUCAAAUAACGGUUUUGAUAACAACUUUUAAAUUAAAUUGAUUUUUCCUGGCAGACCGUGUUCUUUCACUAUAUAUUUUUAGGAGUUUAAUUAUAUUACCAAAUAAGUUUUUUAAAAAUUGUUAAAAUAAGCUAUUCAAUUUUUAAACUUUUCAUGGUCUUAAAAUUUUAAGAUUUAAUUUUAAUAGCUAGUUGAUCUAAUAAGAACAAGAGUAUAGUAUUCAAGUGGUGGUAUGUCGGUUAGAUUUUGUUUCAAAAAUUCGGUACUCGUUUUAUUUGUCUUCACAUAUCCCAGCUUAAAUAACCCAAAAUAUGCUAAUGGCUUAGGUAGAGCAAUUAGGCAAUAUCUGUUUUUAAAUGUAUUCAAUGGUAUGUCCAUUUGAAUCAGCUGAAAAUUUCACCAAUUCCCUUUGCAAAGUGCUUACUAAAAUACUGGAUUCCAUUUCUGGAUUACAUUUAGGCGGACACGGUAAGGCUUUCCCCGAUAAAGUAGAUAUCUUAAUACAAUGAUCAAUUUACCAGUAUCAAUCUUGGUUCUAUUUAAUUGCCUAUGCUAAUUUUUCAUUUUAUCAUUAUUAUUUUCCUUUAAAUGGAUUAUCCUCAUAUCUGUUUUUCUACGAACUGCGUAUUUUGAGAAUAUUUUUAGUACGUGUACAUAUCUUGUAUUGCUCUGUAGUUGUUCAGGCUCUUGCAUGGGCCUUUGUUAUUCAUUGCGUUGAAGGUUGUAGUUCAUUUACUAGCUGUUGAAGAUAUUGACGGAAGUUGUAUCAGCAGUGAGGAGGUAUUUUGUGUAUUGGGAGUUUGCAUAUGUCGGCUUUGAUUAGCAUCGGGAAUCAAUGUAUUUGAGCUUUGGUCGAUUUUCAAGAUUUAUGGAUUUCUAAAGCGUGGAGCUUGGGACGCAUCAGAUGAAGAGCUCGUUGCUUUUGCGGGUUCUAGUGUUUUCUACUGGGAUUAGUUUUGAAGAAGUGUUUGAUACGGGAGGUACAUAUGUCAAAUGUGUAACCAGUUCCAUUUACAUAGUAAAAAGUUUUCAGUGGACUUCGGUCCCGUGGUUUUUUCCCCAUUAUGGGGUUUUCCACGUAAAUUUGGUGUCUCUUUCUAUAUUCUUAUGUUCAUUCGUUACCAAGCCGAAGUUGAAUCGCUUCACUAUUGAUUCCGUUCGAAGAGAAAUGGUAUCCCAUUAAUUCUUUCUACCAAAA